CUCGAGCUCGAGCUAGCUAGCCGACGAGCUAACUAGCGUUAGCUAGCGCUACUUUCCCCCAGAUCCCACCAGCCAUCCCGCCCGCCUUUUCCCGCAGGACAAACAGCACAAGCCAGCGCCGUUUGGCGGAGAAGCGUCCCGGUCGGCGGCGUCGGUCGUUUUCCGGGCGAGCGCAGAAUCUCCCCCGUCGUUGUCACAAGUCAGCGCGGGCAGACGCGUCCUUUAAAUCCCAUCCUCCGCCCGAGCGUCCCGACGUCCCCCUUUUAGCUUCUCCCGGUCCCCGCACGACGUCCGCUCGCGAGUUCCAACGCAGCGAGAACGAGCGCGCCUCCUCCCGCCUGAAGGUUAACGCGGAGCUCGUUCCACGUCACGCGCGGAGCCGCAGUCUGGUCGCGCUUAUUCCGAAUGCGGGACGCAGCCUGAACUCUCUCGCUCUCUCUCUCUCUCUCCCCCUCUCUCCCCCCCGCCGUCCCUCGCGUCGCCUCCUCGCCGUCUUUGCGCCGAACCAGCUCGCGGCAGCAGAGACUGUCCGCGGGGAGAGACAGCCGAGGAGACAGCGCUCUCUCUCUCUCUCUCUCUCUCCGCUGCGUCGCGAGGAAUUGUGGGAAGAAGGUUCCUGCUAUAAAUUAUGAAUGAGUUACAAAUGGACGCUCGGCGCGCGACGCUUACUUUGACCCCCCCUAAAAGCGCGUGCGCGCUGCUUUACUCGGCACAUAAGCUCCAAGCCGCAGAGCCUCGCGUCGCGAAACCACCUCGCGUCUGCUUUAACGGAGAAUAGCGCACGUUUACGUAAACGUACGACUUUCGCGCACGCGCAGAGUGCUGAAUCCUCAAGCGGCCAUCUUUGAUGGGCCGAUCGGUGACGCGCCCUGUUGGUUUAGGGCUGGCGGCGCAUCUCUCAGCCUCGUAGCAUCUCUGGUUGCUGCUGCAGGCAAAAUCCCAGAUCAUCAUCAUGGCGCCCGGCGUAGCAUCUGCUGUGCGGAGGGGGGGGGGGUCAGUGUUGUGAAUGGAAACUGCGGGCUGUCUGUCACUCAGCUGCUGACGUCGGGCGGAGAGGACAUGUCUUCUGCAGAAGUGGGACAACAGCGACUGCUGUCCCUUUGAAUGCACCCACGCACCGGUGUGGUCUGCAUCACCAACGAGUCCUGGUGGCCGUUGCAGUGGGACACAUUCACACAUUCUCCAGACAACACAUGCCCGCCAUGUGCGCGGGUAUCCACACCAGUCUGGCUCCGCACAGCUGAUCUUCUGCCCCUUGGGCCGUGCUCAUUGGUCGUCACGCUUCUGCUAUGCACAGAUUCGUACACGAGGAUGAAUCCUGCCGGACGCUUUUGAGAGACUACCAGUGACGUUAUGAAGCACUGCAGUAAACAGUGACACUGUCAACCAUCAGCCCCAGUGUGUCGCUCUGACCGGCGUCCCAUCCUUGUGAGGGCUUAUCGCCAAUCAAAGUACAUCUAUUAAUGGCUAACGGCCUGCAGCCGGAUGGGGGGUGGAAGCCGGGUGUCUGCGCUGCACACAGCACGCCGACUUAAGAGGCUUCUCUCUGCAGGAGAAACGCACAAACACACACAAGUGUUUGUGCGUGUUUCACAAAGUGAUUCUUUGUAAAAUGAACACGAUCCUGCUCUGUUGUUAUUUAGUUUCAUUUUGAUAUAAAUAAAUGGGAUUUUUCAUUCAA